GACGAACGCUGGCGGCGUGCCUAAUACAUGCAAGUCGAACGCAGUGGGGACGGGUGAGUAACACGUGGGUAACCUCCCAUCAGAGGGGAUAACACUUGGAAACAGGUGCUAAACCGAUACUGAUGGAUGGACCCGCGGUGCAUUAGCUAGUGGGUGAGGUAACGGCUCACCAAGGCCACGAUGCAUAGCCGACCUGAGCGGGUGAUCGGCCACAGUGGGACUGAUACGCGGCCAAUACUCCUACGGCAGGCAGCAGUAGGGAAUCGUCGGCAAUGGACGAAAGUCUGACCGAGCAACGACGCGUGAGUGAAGAAGGUUUUAGGAGCGUAAAACUCUGUUGUUAGAGAAGCGGUAUCUAACCAGAAAGCCACGGGUAACUACGUGCCAGCCGCCGCGGUAAUGA
rnacentral:rRNA from 1 species